CUAAUUGUAUUUUUCAAGCAUCUACAGAGGUUACACCGCUGUUUGAGACUGUUGAAAAAUUAACUGAUUUUAUAAAUCUAAAACUUGAAGAUGAAAUCCCUCUUUCUGAUUGUGUUGUGUGUGUGUUUGAUUGCCUCUGCACAAGUUGUCAUGGCAGGACAUGGUUGUUAUUGUGUGUAUCACAAUGACCAAACGUGCAGUAAUUAUUGCCAGAGCGAACUCAGUUGUAGAGGUGGAUACUGCGGCUCGGGUUGGUGUGUUUGCAAGUGUGUUGGUUGCAAAAAGUAACUGGAAAGAAAAAAAAAACAGGAACAGACUACGUGACAUUUGUCGCAAUGACUUACUAUUAAACCAUUAAAGCAUCA